rnacentral:lncRNA from 1 species
AUUUCCAUAUCUAGGAGUAUAUUUAUACGAACGACAGUUUGUCAAGAAAUAAAAAAAUCAAAGGUCGAUGGUUCCCGUCUCAAAUUUUUUCCAUUCUCUCCAACAUCACUAGAUGCAUAAUUUAAUUCAGAAAGAGAAUCAUAUUUAAACAACGUAACACCAAGUUCAUCUCUGGUUUCAACAGAAGUUCAUCUUCUCUCUCUCCCCCCUCUCUCUCUCUCUCUCUCUCUCUA